rnacentral:rRNA from 1 species
UGGGCGCAAGCCUGAUCCAGCCAUGCCGCGUGAGUGAUGAAGGCCCUAGGGUUGUAAAGCUCUUUUGUGCGGGAAGAUAAUGACGGUACCGCAAGAAUAAGCCCCGGCUAACUUCGUGCCAGCAGCCGCGGUAAUAC